rnacentral:rRNA from 1 species
CCUACGGGUGGCAGCAGUGAGGAAUAUUGGUCAAUGGACGAGAGUCUGAACCAGCCAAGUAGCGUGAAGGAUGACUGCCCUAUGGGUUGUAAACUUCUUUUAUAAAGGAAUAAAACGAGGCACGUGUGCCUUUUUGUAUGUACUUUAUGAAUAAGGAUCGGCUAACUCCGUGCCAGCAGCCGCGGUAAUACGGAGGAUCCGAGCGUUAUCCGGAUUUAUUGGGUUUAAAGGGCGCGUAGAUGGGUUGUUAAGUCAGUUGUGAAAGUUUGCGGCUCAACCGUAAAAUUGCAAUUGAUACUGGCAGUCUUGAGUACAGUUGAGGUAGGCGGAAUUCGUGGUGUAGCGGUGAAAUGCUUAGAUAUCACGAAGAACCCCGAUUGCGAAGGCAGCUUACUAAACUGUGACUGACAUUGAUGCUCGAAAGUGUGGGUAUCAAACAGGAUUAGAUACCCGAGUAGUC